GGCUCGUUGGUCUAGGCAGGUCCAGGACACCUGGUUCUCACCCAGGAGGACAUCGGUUCGAAUCCGAUACGAGCUACC
rnacentral:tRNA from 1 species